GCCUUAGUAGCUCAGUGGCUAGAGCAGUUGAGUCAGCUGAAACUUGUAGCCAUUGCAAGAUAUCAACAGGUCGGGGGUUCAAAUCCCCUCUAAGGCU
rnacentral:tRNA from 1 species